AGAAUCAACGCUGGCGGCGUGCCUCAGACAUGCAAGUCGAACGCGAAAAUUUCCUUCGGGGAAUGAGUAGAGUGGCGCACGGGUGAGUAACACGUAGGUAAUCUACCUUUGGAUGGGGAAUAACAACCGGAAACGGUUGCUAAUACCGCAUAAUGCAGCGGCACCUAAUGGUGACAGUUAGUUAAAAGGCGGGGGAUACGAAAGACCUCGCGUCUGAAGGAGGAGCCGUGGCGGACGGAUUUAGCGUUAGUUAGGUAAGGUUAAUGGGUCCUUUAACCGAAGGCC
rnacentral:rRNA from 1 species